GGAUAUGAGGGCGAUCUGGCUGUGACAUCUGUCGCCCCAUCAAUCACCAGGGUUGAUUUGGCUGAUCUGACUGGCUAGGCGGGUGUCCCCUUCCUCCCUCCAUGUGCAUCCCUCUCGAAGUUGUGCACUCGGUCGAAGAGGACGGCCUUCCCCGAAUAGAGAAGGACCAGUCUUCGGUCCAGGGUAUAAGAGUAGCUGCGCUCCCCUGCUAGAACCUCCAAACAAGUAUCCAUUCCCCAUCUGCAUAUGGGAAGCUUCAUGAGUAGUGAAAUAGUGCUGCUUGCUUGUGUGUGUGUGUGUGUCCAU
ensembl:misc_RNA 7SK 7SK RNA